rnacentral:lncRNA from 1 species
GGGAUUUUAGUCGACCCGACCACCAUCGCUGCACCCCAAUGACCGUCGACCACCCGUCCUUUCCUUUAAUCUAUUGGUAUCCAAGUUGUUUGCAGAAUGGGAGAUGAAUGAGCCUGGGGCUAACCUAAAUUCAGCAUGUUGGUUCAAUCGAGACUCUUAGUUUUACCCGGUCAUUUUCUUUAUACGACCCACAAUUUGCAGGAAAUGUUUGAAGGUUUAGCAAGGCAGCUGACUUUAGGUUAACUUGGGCAAUAUAUUAAAGAUAUACACAGGGAGCAACUCAAGAUUACACUCUGGAAUGGUCAGUCACUACUGUAUAAUAUCCUACUCUUUAUUAAGUUACUGUGUAUAAGAAUAUAAAUUGCAUGUAGGACAAUUUAUUGAUUGUAUGAACUUGGAUUUACUGAAUCCCAAAUCGCUAAAGAAAAUUUAACAAAAAAACGUAUAAAAAGGUUUUUAGUCUGAUUACAUUUGUUUUUUUAAGCUUAUGGUUGUUAAUGAUGGUGGAUUUGAUGUCUAGAUGUCUAGUGUUGGAUUUGUUUGUGUUUAGCUAUUCGUUGUAUAAGAAGGAGAGAAAUUUUUGAAAUUAGAAGUGUAAUAAUGAAUGUUGGUCAUUGAUGGCAUCUUGGGUAUGUGACGAAAUGGCUUUUUUGGGAGUUGUUUCUUGUUUUCUCUCUUUGUAAAAACCGAUCAGAGCCAUGCAGGUCUAAUCUCAUUAGCGAGUUCAAUUCCAAUGACUGUGGAAUCGAUUCUUAAUCCCAUUAUUGAAUUCAUUACAAUUGGAAUACUAGCUUGCUGGUCUAAUCUCAGUUUCUUAGGCUGUCUUCAACGCAAGAUCCGUAUUCCCGUCCGAGAUGACGUGGAAUAAAUCCAAGUUUCCAGGCGCAUUGAAGCAGAUCCGAAGUGGAGAGAUCCGAAGGUGAUAUCCGACUGCAAGGACACCCAAUUUGCAUCGGUUCUUGUGCCAAACUAAAAAAAUAUAUAUAUUUUAUGUACUGAGUAGGUAUCGUUUGGUUAUUACCAGAAGAGAAAGAUAGAUUUGAGGUGGUGUAGUUGUUGGUAGUGCUAUAUGUUGACGGUGGUUGUUGGCCGGUGGUGCCGUCAGCCUCUUGUUGUAAUAGAAACUAGAAAGAGACCUAUAUUUUGUGUUUGAUGGUCUCAAGAUAGUAGAUGACCAAUAAAGUAAUAUUAUAUCUCAAAUAAUGUGAGCUUUUUUAUGAAGAUAUUAAUUAUUUAAUCAUCUAAGUAUUUAAAUAGAUUUUAAUAUUCAAGUAAAUGCAUUUAAAGAAAAUAGAUUUUAAUAGUUUAAGUAAUUGCAUUAAAGAAAAAAUUGGUGAUGAUGUGGAUAAGGAUAAUGGAAGGAUGUUUGUAUGGUUGGAGAUAAAAUUAAGGUUUUUAAGGAUUUGUAAGAAUUUUUAAGGAAUUGUAAGGAUAUAAUGUGGUAGCUGACUGGGCAACUAAGGGCGCCUAAGGACUUCUUUACCAUUGGAGAUAGUCUUAUUGCUUUUUGCAGGUAUUAUGCCGAUCUGGUAAGGUGGACUCUUCUUUGGUGACUCGUCUUCCUCAUUGUCAGGUGUAUUUUUAUGAUAUUUUAUAAUUUUAAAAGAUUGUGGUUUCUCAGUUUCAUGUUUUCCUUUGUCAAUAUAUUUAUUUUUUAUUCAAUUUGCGAUAAUUUUUGUCUGCGAUUAUAUGUUUUAGGGCUGUCACAUCUGCUAGUUUGAAACGGGCCGGCCCGAAACAAAUUUUGACCAAAUUUCUAUAAUUUUUUUUAUUUAAUUAUAUGUUAGUUUGUACAUCAUUACUAGUUGGGCACUAUUUCUCUAUAAGCUAAUUAAUCCUCCCCCCCCCCCCCCCACCUACCACACACUCUAUAAUAAGGGCUCCAUGUCCACUAUUAGGCUCGAGAGGACAUUAUGGUUAGUCUAUUUUCAAUCUGCUAUUUUUACCACAAACUUUCUUAUUAUACAAGAUAAUGUAUUUACAUCAUAUGAAACUUUUGUUAUGUGCUAUAUUUCAGAGCAUGGUUGAAUUAAUGGGGGCACAAGUUUCGAAACUGCUGAUUGCGACCAAGGUGGCUUUUUUACCGAACAAGAUAUUAAGAGCCUACCAUGUUUACAGGUGAUGGUAAUUCCGAUAACGAAGAGAUUAAAGUGAUGUCAAAUGAAGUUGAGUAUAGUCAGUUGGCUGAUGUAGCGACAAUCUGGGAACUAUGAAGUGGAAGUAUGACUACUAAGAAAACGUUAACACGAUGAUUAUUUAACUCGCAUGAAGAUUGUGAAAGAGAUUCAUGAAUACAGUGAAGUUUUGAGUUUUUAUUCAUACACUUAUUAGUUUAUUUGGGUUAUAUGUUUGAUCAUUAGACUUAGAUCGACACUUAUUAGAUAUUUGGAAUGCUUGGAAGAUUGAUUGAACUUUUAAUUGAAGUGAUUAUUUUAU